rnacentral:lncRNA from 1 species
UCUGACUUAGUCUCCCUCCACCUUAUGGGCACCUGGCAGUCGGUCAUCAUCAGCUUUGCUGAAUCAGCAGCAACAUUGAGGGUAAAAAUUGUGUCUCCUGGUUCCACCAGAAAUAAAGUAGAGCCCCACACAGCUGAGGUGUGGGGUCAAAAAUUAAAACUAAGAGACAUAAGACUCAUUCUCAGGCUCCAAGUCUGGCCAGUGAGCUUCU